GCUCAAUGCCUGUGUGGUUGUUGAAAAGCAUAGCAAGAAGCUUUUAGAAUCAGAAAAGCUUCAGCCCGCAGGAAAAGGCGUGUGGUAAUCAGGGCUAGCCAGAAAGAAAUAUACAGGAGAAAGCUACAAAACAUGGAACAUUUUUCAUCCUUACCCAGAUGUCCAGACGAAAGAAGAUAGGCAGCAUUUAAAAGAGUUUGCUUUGCUGUGCUGAGAUUAACUACUUGAAUGCAGACCUAUGGUGAAAACAGACACAUGGAAACAGCUACUCUUUUGUUCCAACUUUGCCCAUGAGGUAACACUAACAU